rnacentral:rRNA from 1 species
UACGUAGGGGGCAAGCGUUGUCCGGAUUUAUUGGGCGUAAAGAGCUCGUAGGCGGCUUGGCAAGUCGGGUGUGAAAACUCCAGGCUCAACCUGGAGAUGCCACUCGAGACUGCUAUGGCUAGAGUCCGGUAGGGGACCACGGAAUUCCUGGUGUAGCGGUGAAAUGCGCAGAUAUCAGGAGGAACACCGGUGGCGAAGGCGGGUCUCUGGGCAGUAACUGACGCUGAGGAGCGAAAGCGUGGGGAGCGAAUGGG